AUUGAACGCUAGCGGGAUGCCUUACACAUGCAAGUCGAACGGAGUGGCGAACGGGUGCGUAAUGUAACGGAACGUGCCCAGUCGCGGGGGAUAACUACGCGAAAGCGUAGCUAAUACCGAAUACUAUCGGCGCGGACGAUAUCGGAUUAGCUUGUUGGUGGGGGAACGGCGCACCAAGGCGACGAUCCGUAGCUGGUUUGAGAGGACGACCAGCCACACUGGGACUGAGAAACGGCCCAGACUCCUACGGGAGGGAGCAGUGGGGAAUUUUUGACAAUGGGAGAAACCCUGAUCCAGCCAUCCCGCGUGUGCGAUGAAGGCAUUCGGGUUGUAAAGCACUUUUGGUAGGAAAGCGGUACCUGCAGAAUAAGCACCGGCUAACUACGUGCCAGCAGCCGCGGUAAUAC
rnacentral:rRNA from 1 species